GAUGAACGCUGGCGGCGUGCCUAAUACAUGCAAGUCGAGCGAACAGAUGAGGAGCUUGCUCCUCUGACGUUAGCGGCGGACGGGUGAGUAACACGUGGAUAACCUACCUAUAAGACUGGGAUAACUUCGGGAAACCGGAGCUAAUACCGGAUAAUAUAUUGAACCGCAUGGUUCAAUAGUGAAAGACGGUUUUGCUGUCACUUAUAGAUGGAUCCGCGCCGCAUUAGCUAGUUGGUAAGGUAACGGCUUACCAAGGCAACGAUGCGUAGCCGACCUGAGAGGGUGAUCGGCCACACUGGAACUGAGACACGGUCCAGACUCCUACGGGAGGCAGCAGUAGGGAAUCUUCCGCAAUGGGCGAAAGCCUGACGGAGCAACGCCGCGUGAGUGAUGAAGGUCUUCGGAUCGUAAAACUCUGUUAUUAGGGAAGAAGAAAUGUGUAAGUAACUAUGCACGUCUUGACGGUACCUAAUCAGAAAGCCACGGCUAACUACGUG
rnacentral:rRNA from 1 species